CCUAGCGCAGCAUCCUUCGGUGCUGUCAUUCAUCCAAUGAAUGUUUAUUUAAUAAAUAAAACUACGCCUGCCUGCCGUUCGUUGCGCUGAGUAGAGGCGCAGUUAUAAAGACGUUCGUAGACCACCCCCGGUUUGCACCCGUAUCCAUCCACCCAUCACAAGAUGUGCGUGCGUUCGGAAAGGGAAACUAGGGUCUAGCCGAAGCACAUAGCGUUCGCCACAAUGCGCCACAGUAUACAUCGCGGGGUCUACCGCCACACUAGCUAGUGUAGUUUUGUUCUCUCUGCCGCGCGAGGCAAUUAGCAACGUUCGAGGUUUGGCCUCACCAAACUAGGGUCUGUUGUGUGCUACCGAACCGUCACCAUCCCUUCGUUUUUUUUUUUCGAUUGUUUUUCUCAGCUGUGGCUUCGUUUUUGUUUUUGCCGUGUGUUGCUGGAGAAACUCGUUCCAUCCGCCCGAGUCAUCGCCGUUCGCUCAAGGUCGUUUUGGGAUAUUGACGGCUUUGCGGAGCGCUAGCACGACAGAACGCUUGUGGUUGUUGAGCAGUGCAGUCCUGCAGUGUGGUAGAGUAGCUAUCCAAGCUGACAGCGAAUCCGAGCAGAAGCGAUGGGUUCGAAGCUGAUUCUAUCGAUCGGUGUGCUGCUGGUUGUGGCUGCGAUUGCCACAGCCAAAUCGGUACCGGAGCAACGUUCUCACCUGGAUCUGGCCGAGGUGGACUCGAGCGAGGAGCAACCGUGUACGAUCGAUCGCGUGAAGGGCUUCUUCGGUGAUCUGUCCACCAAGGUGAAGGAGGGCGUACAGGAGGGUGUGGUGAAGGUGAAGGACGGCGUCAAGAAGGGCACGACCAAGGCGAAGGAGUAUGCGACGAAUGUGCGUGACUAUCUGCGCGAAAAGUUUAGCAGCGAGUCGAAGGAAUCAGCUGCUACUGCUACAACAACUCCAGCGCCGAAACUAAUCGCUGGAAUCUAAUCUGACGCAAACACUCCUCACCUCACUGAACUGGCAUUUGGCAGAAUGGAAAAUCAUACCAUCCCCUUGGUAAUCAAUAAAAAGCUGCUUGGUACAGCGUGAAAACGGACGCCGUUUUGCGUUUCAAAUUGUGCGCGGAAAGGUGGUACAUUCGAAAUUAGAGUCCACUCUUGACGGACGGCGCUUACGUCACCGCGUUGAGUCGUUGAUAAGUCGCCGCAAAACGUAUCAAAGGUCAAGCGUACGAUCCGCGCUCACGAUUCGUUUGGUUUUUGGGGGGAAAGAAUUUUUAGGUGCUUCACUUCCGUUUUCUAGUCCACAAUCAGCAUCGCGAUGGGAAGGUUUCGCACGCAUCUUGCCCUUCUACUGCUGGUCGCGAUCGGUGCUAGUGUUACGGUUCGGUCGGUCGUACCGGAGCAGCCGACCUACAGGAAGUAUCUGCGCACCCGCAAACCUUCGCAGCCGACCGAGCUGCACGUGGAGGAGGUGCUGGAGGUGUUCCGUACCGAUAUGCGUCCAUCACCGUACGGUGUCGAUAAUGCGCUGGUGAAUCACUUUCUUGCUCAGCAGUUGAGGCACCAGGCACGCGCAGCUGCUGCUGCUGCUGCUACGACCAGUACGACACCGACGGUGGUACACGAUACAACGACGACGGCCGUACAGGCAGUAACCGAACACAGCACCUUUCCCACACCGACAUACGAGAAUCAUAAUCCCGUCUACAACUACCUCUUUCGACCAUCAAUCACUGCAACCAAAUAUGGCGGCUAUCCAGCCGAAAGUACCAUCAUCAUCAAGGAGGCCGAUCCGAUGAUAACGCACACUGCUGCAGAGGAGCUACCGCUACACUGAUGCAUUAUCCCUGGCUGGGUACUGCAAAGCAGCGAACAGGUUAAAGGUAAGCCAAAACAGUGCUAACAGUGUGAGUGUUUGGGAGUGGUUUUGUUUGUUUUUUUUUUUUUUGGCGGGAAUCGUUUCGAACUCACGAUCGUGCUAGUCCGCUGCGUCAAUGUUCGAAAGGCCUAUUUCGCCUGACGUCUUAUCUUAUCAGACGCUCGAGUGUAUGCAAACAACAGGCAAGAAUGUGGAUCACCGCCGAUGCUUAUGCCAGUCGUUGCGAAACCGCGCCGGAUUCCGAUUCAGUCACCAUUCGUAACCCGGUCGCGCUGCGUGCAUCAGAGUUUCGAUUCUGGGAAUUUCGCGAACGCGUCAUGUUACGCCACAGUGUGCUGCUGCUUCUUCCCGUCGUGCUGGCCGUGCUGAUAAGCGCGGUACCGUAUCAAUCAAACACAGCAGACGCAUCGGUACAAUUGCUCCAGCGUACGACACGGCGGGUUAUCUUCUACAAACCGGAACGUGACAAUAACGAGACGAAAACUGUCAACAAGUCGAACAUUUUCGACCCUCCGAGGCUCUGCAAGGCCGGUUAUCAGCUCGAUCGGCACUCCCGAUGCCGUCGAGUGAUGGGUUAGGUCACCUACUCACCUCCACACACUAACACACACACACACGCACGCUCACACCAAGGUACACGGCAAGGAGGUGUGGUGUGUGCGACUGCGUGUGUGUGCCUGUUUCAACGGUACCACAUCUGUCACUCGGUGUCGAUGGUACCGUGCUUUUGCUGCAGUCACCGCCAACAAUCCCACGGCGAAAGUGUUCUCUCUCUCGGCCAGGCAAGCUGGUGUUUUCCUAAACGAUAGGCCCAUCCACCUUCAUACACUCCGUAACACAUCUCGCACCAUGAGGACGCCGGUACGAUUAUCGGUAGUGCUGCUGCUUACUGCGUUAGUGCUCCAUGCCCUGCCGCCUGCCACCGGUGUACGAGUGAUAUUUUGGCGCCCAUUGACAGAUCACACCGCCAGCAACGGUGCGGACCUGAACCUGAAAGCCAACAUACUACGGUCGCCUAAUCUCGUCGGCAGUAGCUGCGGAAACGGCCAGCUGACGGACAGUCGCGGUAUCUGCCGUAGUACUAAAUCGUUUUAAAAAAAUUGUCGAGUUGGUUCUCGGAACAGCAGUGGCGCAUUAUCGAUGCCACUGGCACCGGGGGCAAUGAGUUUAUUUUUUAACUCCAUCACUCUAAUGGGAAAUUUAAAAAAAAAAAAACGCCUCAAGCCAAGGAGCAUUAAGUGAUAGCUACCAGCUUGAUGCCCGGACAAUGUUUCCCGCGCAAACAUCGCAGAAAAGGUGGUGUCGAUCGGUGCGAACAGGCUAAAACAUCCUCAGAUCGAAGUUGAAAGCUCUACUUUCUAUAAACCUCAUCUACCUAGCGUAUAAGCGUAAUGUCUAUUCUACAAACUUGUGUUACCCUCUAAGCACACCAAACGUCUGUUUAUUCUGAAUAAAAGCUAUUACAAACCCGUACUACUUCAUCAUGAA